UACGUAGGUCCCGAGCGUUGUCCGGAUUUAUUGGGCGUAAAGCGAGCGCAGGUGGUUUAUUAAGUCUGGUGUAAAAGGCAGUGGCUCAACCAUUGUAUGCAUUGGAAACUGGUAGACUUGAGUGCAGGAGAGGAGAGUGGAAUUCCAUGUGUAGCGGUGAAAUGCGUAGAUAUAUGGAGGAACACCAGUGGCGAAGGCGGCCUGCUGGACAGAAACUGACGUUGAGGCUCGAAAGCGUGGGGAGCAAACAGG
rnacentral:rRNA from 1 species